GACGAACGCUGGCGGCGUGCUUCACACAUGCAAGUCGAACGACGUGGCGAACGGGUGAUUAAUACGUGAGUAACCUGCCCUCCUUUUUGGGAUAAGCCUUGGAAACGGGGUCUAAUACCGGCUAAAGGGGGAUGGGCUCGCGGCCUAUCAGCUUGUUGGUGGGGUGAUGGCCUACCAAGGCGGUGACGGGUAGCCGGCCUGAGAGGGUGACCGGCAAAAUUGGGACUGAGAUACGGCCCAGACGCCUACGGGAGGCAGCAGUGGGGGAUAUUGCACAAUGGGCGAAAGCCUGAUGCAGCGAAGCCGCGUGGGGGAUGAAGGUCUUCGGAUUGUAAAGUACUUUAAGUUGGGAGGCGGUACCAACAGAAUAAGCACCGGCUAACUUCGUGCCAGCAGCCGCGGUAAUUC
rnacentral:rRNA from 1 species